CAAUAGCGUAUAUUAAAGUUGUUGCAGUUAAAAAGCUCGUAGUUGGAUUUCUGGUGGGAGCGAUCGGUCUGGCGCUUAGCGCGAGUACUUGCAUCGUCUCCGGCCAUCCUUGGGGAGAGUCUGUCUGGCAUUAGGUUGUCGGGCAGAGGAUCCUCAUCGUUUACUGUGAAGAAAUUAGAGUGUUCAAAGCAGGCUUAUGCCGUUGAAUAUAUUAGCAUGGAAUAAUAAGAUAGGACUUUGGUACUAUUUUGUUGGUUUGCGCACCAAAGUAAUGAUUAAUAGGGACAGUUGGGGGUAUUCGUAUUCCGUUGUCAGAGGUGAAAUUCUUGGAUUUACGGAAGACGAACUACUGCGAAAGCAUUUACCAAGGAUGUUUUCAUUAA
rnacentral:rRNA from 1 species